rnacentral:tRNA from 2 species
AUACCUUCCCCUACUA